GACGAACGCUGGCGGCGUGCCUAAUACAUGCAAGUCGAGCGGACCGGAUUGGGGCUUGCCUUGAUUCGGUCAGCGGCGGACGGGUGAGUAACACGUGGGCAACCUGCCCGCAAGACCGGGAUAACUCCGGGAAACCGGAGCUAAUACCGGAUAACACCGAAGACCGCAUGGUCUUCGGUUGAAAGGCGGCCUUGGGCUGUCACUUGCGGAUGGGCCCGCGGCGCAUUAGCUAGUUGGUGAGGUAACGGCUCACCAAGGCGACGAUGCGUAGCCGGCCUGAGAGGGGGACCGGCCACACUGGGACUGAGACACGGCCCAGACGCCUACGGGAGGCAGCAGUAGGGAAUCUUCCGCAAGGGGCGAAAGCCUGACGGAGCGACGCCGCGUGAGCGAAGAAGGCCGUCGGGUCGUAAAGCUCUGUUGUGAGGGACGAAGGAGCGUCGUUCGAAGAGGGCGGCGCGGUGACGGUACCUCACGAGAAAGCCCCGGCUAACUACGUG
rnacentral:rRNA from 1 species